AUGGUAUCCACACCUCAGUUCCUUGUAUUUUUGCUUUUCUGGAUUCCAGCCUCCAGAGGUGACAUCUUGCUGACUCAGUCUCCAGCCAUCCUGUCUGUGAGUCCAGGAGAAAGAGUCAGUUUCUCCUGCAGGGCCAGUCAGAGCAUUGGCACAAGCAUACACUGGUAUCAGCAAAGAACAAAUGGUUCUCCAAGGCUUCUCAUAAAGUAUGCUUCUGAGUCUAUCUCUGGGAUCCCUUCCAGGUUUAGUGGCAGUGGAUCAGGGACAGAUUUUACUCUUAGCAUCAACAGUGUGGAGUCUGAAGAUAUUGCAGAUUAUUACUGUCAACAAAGUAAUAGCUGGCCAAC